rnacentral:rRNA from 1 species
AUUGAACGCUGGCGGCAGGCCUAACACAUGCAAGUAGAACGAGUGGCGGACGGGUGAGUAAUGUCUGGGCAACUGCCCGAUGGAGGGGGAUAACUACUGGAAACAGUAGCUAAUACCGCAUACCAUCGGAUGUGCCAAGAUGGGAUUAGCUAGUAGGUGGGGUAAAGGCUAACCUGGGAGACAAUCCCUAGCUGGUCUGAGAGGAUGACCAGCCACACUGGAACUGAGACACGGUCCAGACUCCUCCGGGAGGAAGCUGUGGGGAAUAUUGCACAAUGGGCGCAAGCCUGAUGCAGCCAUGCCGCGUGUAUGAAGAAGGCCUUCGGUUUGUAAAGUACUUUCAGCGAGGAGGCGUUACUCGCAGAAGAAGCACCGGCUAACUCCGUGCCAGCAGCCGCGUAAUAC